rnacentral:rRNA from 1 species
UACGUAGGGUGCGAGCGUUAAUCGGAAUUACUGGGCGUAAAGCGUGCGCAGGCGGUUUUGUAAGCCAGAUGUGAAAGCCCCGGGCUUAACCUGGGAAUGGCAUUUGGGACUGCAAGGCUAGAGUGCGGCAGAGGAGACUGGAAUUCCUGGUGUAGCAGUGAAAUGCGUAGAUAUCGAGAGGAACACCGGUGGCGAAGGCGGCCAACUGGACAGAUACUGACGCUGAGACACGAAAGCGUGGGGAGCAAACAGG